UACGCUGAGGACCCAUC
rnacentral:misc_RNA from 1 species